GCUUACGGCCACACAGCCUGGUUCACUCCUGAUCUCGUUUGAUCUCGGAAGCUAAGAUAGGUUGGGCCUGGUUAGUACUUGGAUGGGAGACCGCCUGGGAAUACCAGGUGCUGUAAACU
ensembl:rRNA 5S_rRNA 5S ribosomal RNA